rnacentral:rRNA from 1 species
UACGUAGGGGGCAAGCGUUGUCCGGAAUUAUUGGGCGUAAAGAGCGCGUAGGCGGUCCGGUAAGUCGGCUGUGAAAGUCAAGGGCUCAACCCUUGGAAGCCGGCCGAUACUGUCGGACUAGAGUCCGGAAGAGGCGAGUGGAAUUCCCGGUGUAGCGGUGAAAUGCGUAGAUAUCAGGAGGAACACCUGCGGUGUAGACGGCUUUCUGGACCAUUGCUGACGCUGAGACACGAAAGCGUGGGUAGCAAACAGG